rnacentral:rRNA from 1 species
UACGUAGGGGGCAAGCGUUGUUCGGAAUUACUGGGCGUAAAGGGCGCGUAGGCGGCACAGCAAGUCGGGAGUGAAAGCCCGGGGCUCAACCCCGGAAUGGCUUUCGAAACUGCUGAACUAGAGUACAGAAGGGGCAACCGGAAUUCCCAGUGUAGCGGUGAAAUGCGUAGAUAUUGGGAAGAACACCUGAGGCGAAGGCGGGUUGCUGGGCUGAUACUGACGCUGAGGCGCGAAAGCCAGGGGAGCAAACGGG